GCUGGGUGUGGUGGCGCACGCCUGUAGUCCCAGCUACUGGGGAAGCUGAGGUAGGAGGAUCACCUGAGCUCAGGGAAGUUGAGGCUGCAGUGAGCCAUGAUCACAGCAACUGCACUCCAGCCUGAGGGACAGGGCAAUAUCCUGUCUCAA
rnacentral:SRP_RNA from 2 species